rnacentral:rRNA from 1 species
AGUGAACGCUGGCGGUAGGCCUAACACAUGCCAGUCGAACGGCAGCACAGUAAGAUCUUGCUCUUACGGGUGGCGAGUGGCGGACGGGUGAGGAAUACAUCGGAAUCUACUUUUUCGUGGGGGAUAACGUAGGGAAACUUACGCUAAUACCGCAUACGACCUACGGGUGAAAGCAGGGGAUCUUCGGACCUUGCGCGAUUGAAUGAGCCGAUGUCGGAUUAGCUAGUUGGCGGGGUAAAGGCCCACCAAGGCGACGAUCCGUAGCUGGUCUGAGAGGAUGAUCAGCCACACUGGAACGGAGACACGGUCCAGACUCCUACGGGAGGCAGCAGUGGGGAAUAUUGGACAAUGGGCGCAAGCCUGAUCCAGCCAUACCGCGUGGGUGAAGAAGGCCUUCGGGUUGUAAAGCCCUUUUGUUGGGAAAGAAAAGCAGCAGGUUAAUACCCCGCUGUUCUGACGGUACCCAAAGAAUAAGCACCGGCUAACUUCGUG